GAAUUUCAAGGAAAAAUCUCCACAGACAGGCCAUCAUGAUUCCAAAUGAUCACAACAUUGUAUUUCUAGCAGUACUGCAUGAUUUUUAACAGUUUGAUUGCAGAUGCCAGCUUAUCAAUAUGUUGUGGUUGAAUUCCUAGAUGAGGGGUCAGUAGAGGUUGUCCACAAAACAUGGUAAGAGAGUGAAGAAAAGGGAAUGUUCUGUUAUUGGCCAAGAAAAAACAGUCAACAAAGUGCCAAGAAAGGGCAAAUUCCUGAUAAGA